CAUCUGUAUUUCAUUUAUGCUCACGAUGAGCCCAGAAGCAAAUUACCGUUAUCCCUGCUUUCUGGAUGAAGUUCAGAGAAGCCGAGUAACUCGCCUAAGGGAACAGAGUUGGGCGAUGCAGUCGCCUUGUCCCGCCUGGGCAAGUUCAAGAACCACAGGAGGGGUUGUUUUUGGCAGAGGAAUCCACUAGAAGCUUACCACACGUUCCCUUGAGCUUUUCAAGGACUUCCUGGAGGGCUGGUCCACCCCACCCACUGGGGUAGAAUAAACUUGGUUUCCAGGAGCCUGGCUUUCUCUGAGAGUUUCUUGGCUAUGUUCUGGAUAUUGAGAUUACUAAAUGGAGAAGAUAGAAGCCAUGGUUCCAAGGAGGGCAUGGGACAUAUCAGGGGAACUCGGUCCAGCUGGAGCGGCGUGCUUCCUCCCGGGCCAGGGCUGCGGCAGUGGCCGACCGUCCCUGGCCAGAGCUGCUCAACCCCCGCCGGCAGCGCCCACUCCCCCCAGGGACUACCGGACCCGGGCCAGGGACAGCAGACACCUAGGCUGAGCCUGGAACUAGACAGCCCCCGACCUCCGCAGCGCGCACGCUGUAGUCUCGCCUCACCCCACCCGCCACCCGUCUUCAGUGUCUCCUCGCGCCUUCUCCCCAGGGUCUGCGCCGGUCCUCCACACCUUCACACAGGUCUCGGUCUGUGCUGUAACACCGGCCUCAUUCCCGGCGCUCGGCUCGGGUCAACGUCUGCUGAGCUUCCAGAGGAAGCUCAUUCACCGCAUAGUUGGAUAGGGGAGGAGUUGGGGCGGGGG
ensembl:lncRNA